rnacentral:rRNA from 10 species
UGCAAGUCGAGCGAGACCUUCGGGUCUAGCGGCGGACGGGUUAGUAACGCGUGGGAACGUACCCAAAGGUAGGGAAUAGCCACUGGAAACGGUGAGUAAUACCGCAUACGCCCUUCGGGGGAAAGAUUUAUCGCUAAGAGAUGGACCCGCGUUGGAUUAGAUAGUUGGUGAGGUAACGGCUCACCAAGGCGACGAUACAUAGCCGACCUGAGAGGGUGAUCGGCC